AAUCGGGGCAGAGCAACAGGGAUUGCCCUAGUAACGGCGAGUGAAGCGGCAACAGCUCAAAUUUGAAAUCUGGCCCUCGGGUCCGAGUUGUAAUUUGUAGAGGAUGCUUUUGGCGCGGUGCCUUCCGAGUUCCCUGGAACGGGACGCCUUAGAGGGUGAGAGCCCCGUACGGUUGGACACCAAGCCUCUGUAAAGCUCCUUCGACGAGUCGAGUAGUUUGGGAAUGCUGCUCUAAAUGGGAGGUAAAUUUCUUCUAAAGCUAAAUAUUGGCCAGAGACCGAUAGCGCACAAGUAGAGUGAUCGAAAGAUGAAAAGCACUUUGAAAAGAGGGUUAAAUAGCACGUGAAAUUGUUGAAAGGGAAGCGUUUGCGACCAGACCUUCUCCUGGCGGAUCAUCCGGUGUUCUCACCGGUGCACUUCGCCAAGUCGAGGCCAGCAUCGGUUUCCGCAGGGGGAUAAAAGCCUGGGGAACGUAGCUCCUCCGGGAGUGUUAUAGCCCCUCGCAUAAUACCUUUGCGGGGACCGAGGACCGCGCUUUUUGCAAGGAUGCUGGCGUAAUGGUCGUCAACGACCCGUCUUGAAACACGGACCAAGGAGUCGAACAUUUGUGCGAGUGUUUGGGUGUCAAACCCUCACGCGUAAUGAAAGUGAACGGAGGUGAGAGCCCUCACGGGUGCAUCAUCGACCGAUCCUGAUGUCUUCGGAUGGAUUUGAGUAAGAGCAUAACUGUUCGGACCCGAAAGAUGGUGAACUAUGCGUGGAUAGGGUGAAGCCAGAGGAAACUCUGGUGGAGGCUCGCAGCGGUUCUGACGUGCAAAUCGAUCGUCAAAUCUGCGCAUGGGGGCGAAAGACUUAUCGAACCAUCUAGUAGCUGGUUACCGUGAGUUUCUCCUCCU
rnacentral:rRNA from 1 species